rnacentral:rRNA from 1 species
AUUGAACGCCGGCGGAAUGCUUUACACAUGCAAGUCGAACGGCAGCACGGGGCAACCUGGUGGCGAGCGGCGAACGGGUGAGUAAUACAUCGGAACGUGCCCAAUCGGGGGGGAUAACGUAGCGAAAGUUACGCUAAUACCGCAUACGAUCUACGGAUGAAAGCGGGGGAUCGCAAGACCUCGCGCGACUGGAGCGGCCGAUGGCAGGUUAGGUAGUUGGUGGGGUAAAGGCUCACCAAGCCGACGAUCUGUAGCUGGUCUGAGAGGACGACCAGCCACACUGGGACUGAGACACGGCCCAGACUCCUACGGGAGGCAGCAGUGGGGAAUUUUGGACAAUGGGCGCAAGCCUGAUCCAGCCAUUCCGCGCGCAGGAUGAAGGCCUUCGGGUUGUAAACUGCUCUUGUACGGAGCGAAAAGGCUCUCUCUAAUACAGGGGGCUCAUGACGGUACCGUAAGAAUAAGCACCGGCUAACUACGUGCCAGCCGCCGCAGUAACAC